GUACAUUUCACCUGAGGUACAAUCUCGCCGGCAUUGUCGUUGUUGUGUUCGAGGUGAAGCUGAAUUACUUUGUUGUAGUUGAAGUUGGUUUGUCCAUUGGUGUUCUUGUGGAAGCUGUUUCAUUAUAUCAAGUCCAGCCAAAUACAACUAGCAGGUACGUGUUAAAGUCCUUGAAGCUUCAAGCUGACAGAGA